GCGGGUUUAGCUCAGUUGGGAGAGCGUCAGACUGAAGCCCAACUUCAUCACCUAGUGUUUAUCUGAAGGUCGUGUGUUCGAUCCACACAAACCGCA